CGCCGUUCUGCCUCAUUUUGUCGUGGCUCUUUGUAGUGAGAGGUGUGUGUCGAUAGACCGUCCAGAUAAUUUAACAAUGGUCAAUGUGGCUACGGAGGAGGGGCAGGGUGUCAGAGUUAAAACCGACCUUCAUGAUGGCUGAGCACUGCACAAGGGUUGUACCUUGUUGGCCAGACACCCCGUGCGAGUAUGGCUGAUGUCGUCGUUCCCUUUCUCUCCAGCUGAUUUUAAAGGUGGUCCUCUGGAAUUUCCACUUGUCAGGGAAUGGAUUACCUCAAGCACAGGUAUGUGUUUUCAUGGCUUGGUCUCUUUCUGUAUUGAUACAAUGAUGAUCACAUAGUUCAGCUGAGUUUGUGAUGAAUAUACUUUAGUCUUUCGCUCCUAUCUGAUGUAUCAAUGUGUGUGUUUGUUACUUCAUUGUGACACUUGCUGUGUUGUUGGUUCAGCGUUUGUUUUGUUUUCAGGGCUGCUGCUUUGAUGUGCCCUCUAUAAAGGGGAGAACGGUUGAAAUGGCAGGCUGUGAUGUGAGGUUGAAGGCAUCAAGUGAACACUUGGCAAGGUGCUGAAGUCCUCCUGAUGUCCUUGGCCAGGUUUUGGCUGACUGCUCGUCUGGUGGCCUUGUGGUGUCUGCUGCUUUGCACAGUCCUUCAGAAUUGAAUCUCUGCCAGUGAAGACCACCCUGGCACUGCAGCACUGGGUGGCUUUUGCCCCCAAACCUGACAAUUUGAUUUUGUAUUUCAAAAUAAAACUGGCCUGGUGCUUUGCAUUACA